rnacentral:rRNA from 1 species
ACGCUCGGAAAACGGACGCUAAUACCGCAUACGUCCUACGGGAGAAAGCAGGGGACCUUCGGGCCUNGCGCUAUCAGAUGAGCCUAGGUCGGAUUAGCUAGUUGGUGAGGUAAUGGCUCACCAAGGCGACGAUCCGUAACUGGUCUGAGAGGAUGAUCAGUCACACUGGAACUGAGACACGGUCCAGACUCCUACGGGAGGCAGCAGUGGGGAAUAUUGGACAAUGGGCGAAAGCCUGAUCCAGCCAUGCCGCGUGUGUGAAGAAGGUCUUCGGAUUGUAAAGCACUUUAAGUUGGGAGGAAGGGCAGUUACCUAAUACGUGAUUGUUUUGACGUUACCGACAGAAUAAGCACCGGCUAACUCUGUGCCAGCA